rnacentral:rRNA from 1 species
UACGUAGGGCGCAAGCGUUGUCCGGAAUUAUUGGGCGUAAAGAGCUCGUAGGCGGUUCGUCGCGUCGGCUGUGAAAACCCGGAGCUCAACUCCGGGCCUGCAGUCGAUACGGGCGGACUUGAGUUCGGCAGGGGAGACUGGAAUUCCUGGUGUAGCGGUGAAAUGCGCAGAUAUCAGGAGGAACACCGGUGGCGAAGGCGGGUCUCUGGGCCGAUACUGACGCUGAGGAGCGAAAGCGUGGGGAGCGAACAGG